AGCGGAAGAACACACAAGCGGCUGGACGUUGAGAGGAUGUCCAGAGGGGCAUCUCGGCAGAAGAGCACUAACUGGCACCAGCAGGCCGUCAGGCCACCGACCAGUGGAAUUACAUGGAGUUUGGCUGGGGCGGUCAGAGGAGAGUCGGGGUCCCUGACAGGCCCGACUCCAGGGAAAAACCACCUUCCCAUUCCAUCUCCCUUCUUUUGCUGAGAGCUACCUCCACUCAUUAAAACCUUGCAUUCAUUCUCCAAGCCCACUUGUGAUCCAAUUCUUCCCGUACACCAAAGCAAGAACCGCGAGAUACAGAAAGCGCUCUGUCUUUGUAAUAAGAAAGGGGUCUAACUGAGCUGACUAACACAAGCCGCCUAUGGAUGGCAAAACUAGAAGAGUAGCCUGUAACACACACCCACUGGGGAUUCAGGAGCUGUAAACAUUCAACCUUAGAUGCUGCUGUGGAGUCAGAGCCCCACAACCUGCCCGUCUGCAUGCUUCCCCUAGAGGUCUGAGCAGCGGGGCACUGAAGAAGCAAGCCACUUCCCCUGUCGCACGCGAGGGGGACAAGUGAACUUUUCCAGUUUCAACUGGGGCUUGUCUAGGAUUGCAGAAGAUUUCCUGUAGACGUGACAUGCAAGAAAGCCCGUGAAGGUCGUGGUGCAUCACCUAACACAGCAGUUCACAAGGAGAGAAACAGAAAGGAGGAGACAUACACAGAAGAGAGUAAAGCUUUGUAAACGUGGAGAGAUUGGAGUGAUGUGGACUCAAGCCAAAGAAUGCCGGCAGCCAUCAGGAGCUAGAAGAGGCAAGAAACUGAUUCUUCCUUAGAGUUUCUGAAGGUAACAUGGCCCUGCCAACACCUUGAUUCCAGGCCAGUGAAAUUCAUGGUGAACUUUUGGCCUCCAGAAUUGUGAGAAAAUAUUUCCAUUGUUUUAAGCCAUCACGUUUGUGGUAAUAUUUUAAGGCAGCCUCAAGCAUCUAAGGUAGAAAAUGGCUGUGUUCUAGGUAUAAAUAUGUGGUAGGUGUUUUUGUUAUGUUGUAUUUAUCCUUUAGGAUUACUUGUACGAUGAGGAAGAUUAUUUCUUGUCUUAAUUUUAUAGAAGAGGAAAAUGAGGCUGAUAUAACUUGCCUAAGUUCCCACAACUGGAGAGCAGCAGGGUCAAGAUACAAAAGCUUAUCUAUCUGGUCCCAAAGCUCAUGGUGCGUUUAACUACUCAUAUUUUGCUCACUAAUAUACCAUUACUUUAAACACUACCUGGAACACUGAUGGCCCCAUCUUUAAGGGAUUUACUGUCAAGGUUCCUAAGUAGUAAUGGAAAGAACAGAGAACCAUUUCCUUACAUAAUAAAGCUUUCAUCAUUACUUGCUACGAGAAAAUAUUCAACAAAAAUCUCUUGUAUCUGUGUAUUCUUUUAUUUCCCACUAUAUUAUAUUUUCACACAAAUUUGGCCAGCUAAAUAUUGAGCAAUCCAUUAGGAAGGCUUUAAAACUGGUUGUUAUUAAACAAAUACCACACACAGCACACACACACACACACACACACACACGUCCUGGUGUACAUAUAGGUUUCCCAAAGCCUUGACAGGUGGAGUUUCUUUUCAUGAAAAUAUCAGCUUUGCUCACUAGAUCAAAUUUGGGAAAGCCUGUUUGUUACCAAGGAAAAUAAUCAGUUUUCAUUUUACAUUACCUAAGAAAAGAAUAAAAAUCAGAAUGAAAAUGUUAAGCAACAUGUACACAUUAAAUGUAUUCAUUAUAAAAUGAUCACAUGUAUGCAUUUCUGUUUCAAAUGGCUUCCUAUUUUAAAGCAAUGGAAACUAUAGUAAUGUGCUUCUUUUUCUCUGUCGCCUUUUAUUUCACUUGUAAUAUGCUAAGACAGCACAUUCAAAUCUAGAUCUAAUUUUGUUAUUAAUGUCUUAUCAAAUUAGGUACAGAGGCUACUAAGGCUUUCUUGAAUUACCAAUCAGUCCCACAAACUUCACUGUCCCAGCUCAUUAAUAUAUACCUUCCUGCCUUCAGUUUUACUCCAGUUCUCAGGCCAGUGACUUUCAGUGAGAAGUGAUUUAGAAGGUACUCUUUAGUACAUCUAGAUAGAAUUAAUAGGUAGGGUGCAUUUUGUCCAGGUAAAUCUGCAGCAAUGACUACAAAGGUUCUUCACUGUAGACAUGAAAAUAUUCAUUUAAAUUGAAUGAACCCAUUUAAAAGAAGGUAAAGAAAUGAUUGUUAUAUUAAGUGGGGAAACCGAAAAAACUAGAUUUCUACAUGCAAAAGAAGGACCCUGGACCCUUAUCUUACACAUGAUGCAGAAAAGUCAAUGCUAAAUGUAUAAAAGACCCAAACAUAAGACCAUGAAAUGUAAGACCUAAAUGAAAGAUCAUGAAAUUUCUAGAAAACCACAUAGAGGAAAAACUUGACAUUGGCCUUGCAAUGAUUCCUUGAAUAUCACACUAAAAGCUCAGAUUACAAAAGCAAAAAUAAGUAAAUGGGACUACACCAAACCAAAAAGUUUAUGGAUAGUAAUAUGGUUUGGAUUUGUGUCCUGCCCAAAUCUCAUGUUGAAUUGUAAUGCCCAGUGUUGGAGGAGGGAUCUGGUGGAAGGUGAUAGGAUCAUGGGGGUGGACUUCUCCUUUGCUGUUCUUGUGAUAGUGAGUGAGUUCUCACAGGAUUUGCUUGUUUAAAGGUGUGUAGCACUUGCAGAUUUUCUCUUUUCCUCCUUUUCUCUUUUCCUCCUUUUUUGGCCAUGUAAGAUGUGCCUGUUUCCCCGUCACCUUCUGCCAUGAUUGUAAGUUUCCCGUGGUCCCCUCAGCCGUGCUUCCUGUGCAGGCUGUGGAACUGUGAGUCAAUUCAACCUCUUUUCUUUAUAAAUUACCGAGUUGCAGGUAGUUCUUUAUAGCAAUGUGAGAAUGGACUAAUGGAAACAAUCAACAAAAUGAAAAGGCAGUGUACAGGUUGGAAAAGAAAUAUUUGCAAAUUACAUAUCUGGUGGUGUCAUGGGUGAAAAUUGAUUGACCAUAUAUGUUUGAAUUUAUUCUGGGCUCUCUAUUCUGUUCUAUUGUCUAUGUUUCUGUUUUUAUGCCAGUACCAUACUGUUUUGAUUACUGUAGCUUUCUAAUAUAAUUUUAAAUCAAGAAAUAUAAUGACUCCAGCUUGGUUUUUCUUUCUCUGUACUGCUUUGGCUAUAUGUAUGUGUGUGU
rnacentral:lncRNA from 10 species